AUUCGAUCGGGUUGUGCGACAUCUUCUGGAGACUUGAGAUCAUGGACUUCUUCGUGGUUGCCGAUUGAAGUCUCAGAUUGGAGUAUACUGGAAUCUAGCAGAGAUAUGCUUGCUCUGUGGUGAUUCUAUGGUUCAGCAAAUUUCCUUGUUGCCAGCAGCAAGUUUGAUCCGAACAGAGGAGUUGAUUCCAGUAGGUUGUUCUGUUCUGUGGUGUGUUCCUGUUUCGGCAGCAACCCCAUUCCAAAAGCUCGAUCGAGGACUCUGAUUCGAGACGGGCGUCUCGACCUUGGAUCGCUUGGUUGUACCUUUUAUUUGAGG